rnacentral:rRNA from 1 species
UAGGGAAUCUUCGGCAAUGGGGGCAACCCUGACCGAGCAACGCCGCGUGAGUGAAGAAGGUUUUCGGAUCGUAAAGCUCUGUUGUAAGAGAAGAACGUGUGUGAGAGUGGAAAGUUCACACAGUGGCGGUAACUUACCAGAAAGGGACGGCUAACUACGUGCUAG